rnacentral:rRNA from 1 species
CCUACGGGUGGCAGCAGUGGGAAUAUUGCGCAAUGGGCGAAAGCCUGACGCAGCGACGCCGCGUGAGGGAUGAAGGUCUUCGGGUCGUAAACCUCUGUCAGCAGGGAAGAACGGUCACUGUGCUAAUCAGCAGUGAAUUGACGGUACCUGCAAAGGAAGCACCGGCUAACUCAGGGCCAGCAGCCGCGGUAAUACGGAGGGUGCGAGCGUUAAUCGGAAUUACUGGGGGUAGGGCGCUCGUAGGCGGUAUGUCAAUUCAAGGGUGAAAUCCCCGCGCUCAACGUGGGAACUGUCGUUGAAACUGGCAAACUGGAGUGUGUGAGAGGAUAGUGGAAUUCCAGGUGUAGGAGUGAAAUCCGUAGAUAUCUGGAGGAACAUCAGUGGCGAAGGCGACUAGCUGGCACGUAACUGACGCUGAGGAGCGAAAGCGUGGGUAGCAAACAGGAUUAGAUACCCUAGUAGUC